rnacentral:lncRNA from 1 species
CAUUGGUAUAAGAAAGUUUCAUAAGAACACUUUUGGCGACGGAUUUAAGGGUAUUUCUGCGAUGUUAUAAUCAUAUGGUUGUUUAAAUAUGGUUGAAGCAGGUGGUAAGUGCGUAAGCACAUUUGUUUAGAGAAACAAAAUAUUCUAUGGUAUUUAGAAUCCAAACCUUUAUUUUCGCACAGUUAUUGUGGUAUUUAUAAAGAAUGGCAGACCUAUCUUCAGAAAAUAGCGCCUAAAUGAUAAAAAAUGAUACAAUUGUUUAAUUCCACUCUUAGGGAAAUGUAGGGUUUUAUAAGUUUUAAAAGUAUUUAGCGAUAGAUGAAAUAUAAGAUUAAUUAUAGAGUACAUAAAUCUGUACUAAGG